rnacentral:lncRNA from 1 species
GCUGCUAACAACUGACAACAGAUUUGAGGUUUCACGACCUCUCUUCCUGCAGUUUGGACGGGUCACCCAAUAAAGCAAAACCUAUUGGGCAACAAAGACAAAAGGAGAGGAACUUCCCGGAGAUGAUCAUUAGACUGAAAAAUCUCAUCCCUGAAAAAUAAAAGAAUAUAUUUCUGAGUAUUAGUACUUACUAACCAGAAAAUAAAUUUUGGUUAAUUCUGAGCAAUACAAAGGUAUCCUUAAAUCUGUAAAACAUGAAAAAACUUCUAAACUUAAAAACUGUAUUGUGAGUAAAGCUUUAAGUCACCUGCCAC